rnacentral:rRNA from 1 species
ACCAUGCAAGUCGAACGAUGAUGCCCACUUGUGGGUGGAUUAGUGGCGAACGGGUGAGUAACACGUGAGUAACCUGCCCUUGACUCUGGGAUAAGCCUGGGAAACUGGGUCUAAUACCGGAUAUGACCUUCCAUCGCAUGGUGGUUGGUGGAAAGCUUUUGUGGUUUUGGAUGGACUCGCGGCCUAUCAGCUUGUUGGUGGGGUAAUGGCCUACCAAGGCGACGACGGGUAGCCGGCCUGAGAGGGUGACCGGCCACACUGGGACUGAGACACGGCCCAGACUCCUACGGGAGGCAGCAGUGGGGAAUAUUGCACAAUGGGCGGAAGCCUGAUGCAGCGACGCCGCGUGAGGGAUGACGGCCUUCGGGUUGUAAACCUCUUUCAGUAGGGAAGAAGCGUAAGUGACGGUACCUGCAGAAGAAGCGCCGGCUAACUACGUGCCAGCAGCCGCGGUAAUACGUAGGGCGCAAGCGUUAUCCGGAAUUAUUGGGCGUAAAGAGCUCGUAGGCGGUUUGUCGCGUCUGCCGUGAAAGUCCGGGGCUCAACUCCGGAUCUGCGGUGGGUACGGGCAGACUAGAGUGAUGUAGGGGAGACUGGAAUUCCUGGUGUAGCGGUGAAAUGCGCAGAUAUCAGGAGGAACACCGAUGGCGAAGGCAGGUCUCUGGGCAUUAACUGACGCUGAGGAGCGAAAGCAUGGGGAGCGAACAGGAUUAGAUACCCUGGUAGUCCAUGCCGUAAACGUUGGGCACUACGUGUGGGGACAUUCCACGUUUUUCCGCGCCGUAGCUAACGCAUUAAGUG